rnacentral:misc_RNA from 1 species
UUAACUAUUAUAUAGUACUCAGACAUCACUAAAAACAAGAGUUGUAGGUCCUCUGGCGGGCACUCAACAGCCGAAGCCGCUGGCACGAGGCGGCCCGCCAAAGCAACAAAGGUAAUUUAUUCAAGGGUGGAGGUCAGGACCGAACUUCUACGAGAGGUUCGACGGUAGCCCGUCACUGAGCAAGCUCAUGUGCCGUGCUGCCUAUCCUUUGCUCUAGUAAUGAUCCUUCCGCAGGUUCACCUACGGAAA